rnacentral:rRNA from 1 species
GACCAGACUCCUACGGGAGGCAGCAGUGGGGAAUAUUGCACAAUGGGGGAAACCCUGAUGCAGCGACGCCGCGUGAGCGAAGAAGUAUUUCGGUAUGUAAAGCUCUAUCAGCAGGGAAGAAAAUGACGGUACCUGACUAAGAAGCCCCGGCUAACUACGUGCCAGCAGCCGCGGUAAUACGUAGGGGGCAAGCGUUAUCCGGAUUUACUGGGUGUAAAGGGAGCGUAGACGGCGAUGCAAGCCAGAUGUGAAAGCCCGGGGCUCAACCCCGGGACUGCAUUUGGAACUGUGUGGCUGGAGUGCAGGAGGGGCAGGCGGAAUUCCUGGUGUAGCGGUGAAAUGCGUAGAUAUCAGGAGGAACACCGGUGGCGAAGGCGGCCUGCUGGACGACAACUGACGGUGAGGCGCGAAAGCGUGGGGAGCAAACAGGAUUAGAUACCCGAGUAC